UAGGGAAUCUUCGGCAAUGGACGAAAGUCUGACCGAGCAACGCCGCGUGAGUGAAGAAGGUUUUCGGAUCGUAAAACUCUGUUGUUAGAGAAGAACAAGGACGUUAGUAACUGAACGUCCCCUGACGGUAUCUAACCAGAAAGCCACGGCUAACUACGUGCCAGCAGCCGCGGUAAUACGUAGGUGGCAAGCGUUGUCCGGAUUUAUUGGGCGUAAAGCGAGCGCAGGCGGUUUCUUAAGUCUGAUGUGAAAGCCCCCGGCUCAACCGGGGAGGGUCAUUGGAAACUGGGAGACUUGAGUGCAGAAGAGGAGAGUGGAAUUCCAUGUGUAGCGGUGGAAUGCGUAGAUAUAUGGAGGAACACCAGUGGCGAAGGCGGCUCUCUGGUCUGUAACUGACGCUGAGGCUCGAAAGCGUGGGGAGCAAACAGG
rnacentral:rRNA from 1 species